UCCUUUGUCAAGUUUAUUUUAUUAAAAUAUACAGGACUGAAUAUUGGUGGGUGCUGAGAACAGGAACCACCCCCACAGGCCGCGCCCGAGGGAGACACUUCUGCCAUACAGACAUGAGGCUGCUCUGCAUCCCAGCCUUUUCUGCUGGACCUGCAGCCAGUCUGGCCCAAGGUCAGGGGGUGGGCAGGGCAUGGGGCAGGGCAUGGUGGUGACCCUCUCAUGUGGCCUUGGCCUCUUAGAAUCAAAGCCACACCAGCUGGGAGGGCUGGGCUGGGGGUGGGGGGCAGGGAUGUGGGAAAAGAUUCCCUGAGCCUGGGAAAGCUGAUGCCCUCCUGGAGUGGGGGGAGAGGGAGCCCCCAGUCAGACUGGAGAUGGGUGUUGGUGCCACUCCAAGGGGGAGGACCACCCGUAGGGGGGUGCCAAGGGGUCCCCAAGGCUGAGCCAGGCCAGUCUCCACGGCCUCCGCUGCNNNNNNNNNNNNNNNNNGCCCUGCUCACUGAGCAGAGAUGGGGCAGCGGCCGAUGGAAUGUUUGCUUUGGGAAUGUUCCUGGGAAGGGCCCCUGUGGCCUGAGACUGGGUUCCUUCCCGGGGCGACCUGGCCAGGUGGGAGCAGCCUCUCUGUCUUGGAAAUUUCUGUUGACCUGCCACCUGACCACAGCCCCUCGACCCCCACUGGCGCUAGCUUCAGACUGACACUGGCCUUCGCCCUCAAGAGCAGAAUCCAGCCAAGCAGAAUCCCCAGGGUUUGUGCUUUUGAAGGUGGCUGGGCUGGGCUGGGUGGGCGGUAGGCUUCGGGUCCCCCACUGCUCUGAGGCACAGAACUGACCCCCCAAGGAACCCUGGGGCCACCUGAUCUGGGCUGGUGGGACGCAGGCCUCAGCCCACCAGGAUGGCCUUGCCUUGAAGAGCAGAGUGUCCGCUCGUGGGCUGCAGCCUGAGCUGCUAGGGCCCUUGUGCUUUUUGUAUGGGGUUGAGGUGAGCCUGUGUGGAGGGGCGGCCACACGGCUUCCGGACCCCAACCAGGAAGGGGGGAGGGGGCUCAUUCAAGCUGCUGGGCCGAGGGUGACAGGGGCCAACAGGAAAGACAGAUGGAGGAGCCCCUUCCCAGGCUGCUCUGCCUCCCUUCCCCCCACACUCCCUGGCUGCCAGCCCUGAGCCGGGUGACCCCUUCUCAGGACUGACAGUGACCUGGGGGCCCCGGCGGGCAUGCAUCCCCACGGAGCCAGCCUGGGCAAAGGAAGGCUUCUUCCCACCUCCAGUGGAGUCAGCAGAGUUCCCCUCAGAUUCUCCAUCAAAAAACCCAACCCCAGCUUGAAAGCCCCUUUCCUGGGAUGAAGGAGGACAGAGCCCGCUGGCCGCUCCCCACCGGCACACACAGCUGUGUGGCCUGGCAGAUGUCCUGGGACCCAGGGAAGCAUUUCCAGGAAAGCAGACUCUGUCCAGUCACCUCCUCCCUGGGCCAAAUUCCCUUGACCCCCAGCUGUCCAUCUGGGGUCCUGCGCUGAGGGCUAUUCUGGAAGUGUAGUCAGAGGGCAGGGAGUGCCAGCAAACCUGACUAGCAUCCAUGAGGACGAAGGUUCGAUCCCUGGCCUUGCUCAGUGGGUUAAGGAUCCAGCAUUGCUGUGAGCUGUAGUGCAGGUCACAGAAGCAGUUCGGAUCUGCUGUGGCUGUGGCUGUGGCACUGGCCAGCAGCUGCAGCUCCAAUUUGACCCCUAGCCCAGGAACUUCCAUAUGCAGCAUGUGCGGCCCUAAAAAAGUCCAGAGCAGCUCCCAGAGGCUGGCCCAGGGUGGCCAGGGGCUGUGUGGCUCUCAUCACCCGGACCCAGCUCCCAGCCAGACUCGGCCCCUCCCUAACCUCUGCCCUGCCAUCUGCCAGCCCAGAGGAAGGAGGUGUGUGUGUGUGUGUCUGUGUGUGUGUGUCUGUGUGUGUGUGUCUGUCUGUGUCUGUGUGGGGUGGGGUUGUCUGGAGCAAAAUAUUCACUUUUUGCAAAUAUAUUAGAAAAAAAGUUUCUCAUGGAGGCUGCUCCUGGCAGGAUUGAGGUUUCUG
ensembl:lncRNA